rnacentral:rRNA from 1 species
GACGAACGCUGGCGGCGUGCUUAACACAUGCAAGUCGAACGCUGAAGCUCAGCUUUUGUUGGGUGGAUGAGUGGCGAACGGGUGAGUAACACGUGAGUAACCUGCCUCCUUCUUUGGGAUAACGCCCGGAAACGGGUGCUAAUACUGGAUAUUCACUGGUCUUCGCAUGGGGGUUGGUGGAAAGGGUUUUUCUGGUGGGGGAUGGGCUCGCGGCCUAUCAGCUUGUUGGUGGGGUGAUGGCCUACCAAGGCUUUGACGGGUAGCCGGCUUGAGAGGGUGACCGGGCACAUUGGGACUGAGAUACGGCCCAGACUCAUACGGGAGGAAGCAGUGGGGAAUAUUGCACAAUGGGAGCAAGCCUGAUGCAGCGACGCCGCGUGAGGGAUGGAGGCCUUCGGGUUGUGAACCUCUUUCGCUCAUGGUCAAGCCGCAACAAUGGUUGUGGUGAGGGUAGUGGGUAAAGAAGCGCCGGCUAACUACGUG